AGUUUCGGUUUCAGGCAAAGUUCGAAGACAGACCAAAAAUGGCGCCACUACCAACUGAACUAAUCGCCGAAAUCCUCUCUAAUUUACCAGUAAAACAACUUCUUCAAUUCCUAAUCGUUUCAAAAUCAUGGUAUAACCUAAUUAAAAGCCCUAAUUUCAUCAAACUCCACCUCAAUCAAACCCUAAUUUCCGAUUCUCAUCGUCACCUCAUCCUCUCCUACUCUUCUCUCUCCUCCAGCGAACUCCACGACCGCCAUUUUCGAUUCUCUGAGAUUAACCACCCCUUAAAAACUCACCACCAUGAAAAUGAACGAUGUCGUUUUCGCGAUCCUUUUGAAUCUUCUGGAAUUCGUCUUUUGGGUUCUUGCAACGGCGUCGUUUGCAUCUCAGAUUCCGAUAAAAACGACGUCGUUUUAUUCAAUCCGUCAACGAGAACUUACCGUAAGCUACCAAGUUCGGGUAACCCGGAUUCGAAUAAGUUUGCGGUUUUCGGGUUCGGGUAUGAUUGUUCAAGUGAUGAUCAUAAGGUUUUGAAGUUGAUACAAUGUUGUGGACCUAAUAAUGAGGUUUAUAAUGAUGCAAAAGUUUAUAGUUUGAGGUUAAAUUCUUGGAAAAGGGUAAAUGAUUUUCCGUACUAUUUGAUUUACCCUGAUUUUCAUGGUGCAUUUGUUGCUAAUUCAUUGCAUUACAUUGUUAGUGAUGUAGCGUACGAAUCGAGGAAGAAGUCGAUUGCAAGGUUCGAUCUUAGGACUGAGAGUUACUCGAUUUUGGAUUGCCCUGAGUAUGAUGAUGAUAUAAGGAGUUGGACAUUUUAUUUAGGGAACUUAGGUGGUUGUUUGUGUUGUGCUGUUAAUUAUGAUUUUCAUGGUCGUGCUGAUUUGUGGGUGAUGAAGGAGUAUGGAAACAAGGAUUCGUGGAUUCCGGCUAUCCGAAUUAACAAAGAGGAGAGUAGUUUGAUUGAUUUUAGGCCUGUUGGUUGUUCUGCUGACAAGGAAAGGAUUUUGGUUGAGGUGGAUAAUUGUGAGCUGCAUUGGUACGAUAUGAGGUCUGAAACGGCCUUGCGAGCUGGAGUUGAUGGGCUGCCGAAAGAGAAUUAUGACUUGGAGAUCUUUGUGGAAAGCCUUGUUAUGCUUGGUGAUGAUAAGGUUCAGCCAGAACGGGGAUCACCAACACGCAAUCAUAUGAAGAAGAAGUAUAUUCGAUUUUUUGGCCUGUCUCUUACUAUCCAAUGCAUGAUUACUUGCAUUUCUAGUUAUGAUUUCAAUGGUUUUUUAGUGUUUUGGUUGCCUUGGUUAUCAUUUUGCUUAUUCGCGUGGUUAAUGUGGCUUAUUUGGUUAGUUGUUGUUGUUGUUGUGUCUAUAGAUGGGGAAAAUCUUUAGAAGCUUAUAUGAUGCUUGGUAUGGUUGUCUACUGCUCUUUGACGUGGUUAUACACUAUUCUAAUUAUCAGCUUAUUAUGUUUACAACUAGGACCCUUAGGAAAGCAAGGCCAUUCCUCGACCUUGUUCUUGACAUCGCGGCUCAUUUAAUGAGAAACAUGAUUGCACUAGUUUUGUGUGUACUUCGAGAGUUCAUUCGAAUGCCUCUUGAAGUUCGUUGGAUACUUGGAUUGGCUUUAUACAAUUGAUAAAUUAAUUUGAUCUAUUAAUAUGUAUUAGCUUUUAACAGUUUUAAGAAGAUUUUGGGUGAUUUGUUUUCUGAAGUAAACAUAUCCAUGUUUGUCAUAUUGUAUUUAUGUGUAGCUAAUGCUUAAUGUUCCUGCAAGAUAACCUAUGUAAGUAAGCAGAGUGUGAACUGAAAGUUAGGUUGUGCUAUUAUAUUGAAGAUAUGUGUUGCAUGUUAUGUCACCCAUGAUAAAAGGAAUCAUUAUGUUUAUUGCUCUUUGUCUCAGGACUGAUCUAGAUGAUUUUCUUGCUGUGGGUUUCAAGCUGCGACUUUGAUCAACUUGAAGAUCCUACUGUCCUACUGCUGGUGAACUAUAGGUUGCAACAUAACUUUAUUGUGGACGCACUUGUGGUGGAUAACCUUUUGCAGGAGCCGUAUUGUUUAUAUCUCGUUAUGUUGGUGUUUUCGGGUUGUACAGUUGAUAAAUUCACAAUUAUUGUAGAGUGUUUGUGAACUAGUCGAUUACCGUCGUUUCUGUUUUCUUUUUGUUUUUGCAAAAAGAGUUUCUGUUUGUGAAGAAGUUGGAAUUUUCCUUCAGCUGUUGAGUUUUGCCACCCUUUUGUUUAUAUUAGCCGUUAAUGAACUCUGUUUGGAAACGAUGUGGUAGCUUCAGCCUUCAUGGACAACUAAUUGUGUUCAUAGAUAUAGUGAAAUUUAGUUGAAAUUACAAAAGACUAUGUUGUAGUCGGAAUGCUAAAAAAAUGACCUAUUUUUAGAGUUUAUUCUGUUUAAUGACUAAAUUCUGCAUUUACCAGUAUAAUGUUGUGUGAUU